rnacentral:lncRNA from 1 species
UGUCAUGGCUACCCAAGCUAAAUAGAAUUGGUUGGAGAACCUAUCCAGUUACAAUUACAAUGUAAUACGGCCCUUCUCUAAUACAAUACUCUUAAUUACAUUGUUUGAGUGAUAGUUUGUAUCAUGUCUACUAUCCAAUGUGAUACUUCUCUAUAUGAUUCAAUUGAAUAUGAUUUGGAGCAUACUUCCUAAGUCAUAUUCGUAUUCUUUGGCCAAAGACUCCCGAAUCAUACCUUAAAGUAUUCUCCUUCCACCAUGGAAGGUUAGAAAUUCCUUGUUGUGCAUUCAUAUGCCUACAUGACUAGAUAGCUUGACCCCAACAAUGUCGUGGACACUCUCGAUGGAAUGCCUUUGACAUGAUCAAAGAUUAAGGACCUAACCAUUAGACAUCUAUGUUGCCUCAGGUCAAAGGACUACUUUGCAUAUUGCAACUUACGAGUUCUUACAUGACAUGUAUGUUCGAACUCUCUUUUUAUCGUUGUUCAGUGUACUCGAUUACUCUUUCAAGCACCUAUGUGUUUGUCAUAGUGUCCAACACUAAAUGACUUGAGACUAGUCAUACUCACGCUUGAGUUGACAUAACACAUACUAACCUUAGCGGAUUGGCAAUGCCCAAUUGGCAAUCCUAUGGCUAGGAACGUUUUAGGAAUGAACAUAAGAGAAAGGUCUCGUUAAUCUAACUUAUUUAAAUCACUUCUCUCUUAGAUCAAAUACAUUCCUUGGAUUCCCUUAUUGCUUAAACACACAAUAAAUAGUGAUUAACAAUAAGCUUUGCCCUUCAUUAAACAUAUAAUAGUUUAAUACAAUAAGUAUUCCAAAAGCUAUUACAUCAAAUGAGUGGCUUUGUGGGCAUACUUCCAACAAUCUCCCACUUGCACUCAAAGCCACCUUCCCAUGUAUCUAAUACCCAUCUUUUCCAUAUGGCGGUCAAGUUGGAUUUGAGACAUUGGCUUUGUUAGUGGAUCUGCUACGUUAUCGGCUGAGGCAACCUUGAGGAUGUUGACUUUCCCCUCGGCAGCAUAUCUUCUAUUGAUAUUAAAGGGCCUGUCAAAAUGCUUGUUCUUUUGAUGAGCCCUGGGUUCCUUGGCUUGAGUUAUUGCCCCACUAUUAUCACAGUAUAAAGUUACUGGUAAUGUAAUGGUUGGAACCACUCCAAGUUCAGUAAUGAACUUCUUCAUCCAGAACACUUCUUUGCCGACUUCAGGUGCAGCGACAUAUUCUACCUCCGUCAUGGAAUCAGCAAUUACAUCUUGUUUCUUGCUUUUCCAGCUAACAGCCUCACCAUUCAAAGUGAAUACAUAUCCGGAGUUGGAACUUCUAUCAUCGACUUCAGAUUGGAAAUCUGCGUCUGUAUAAGCUUUCACUCGUAACUCUGUUGCUCCUCUAUAAACGAGGAACAUGUCCUUAGUUCUUCUUAAGUACUUAAGAACCGUUUUGACAGCUGCCCAGUGUUCUGAUCCUGGGUUAGAUUGAUAUCGACUAGUAAUGCUCACAGCAUAUGCGAUAUCAGGCCUUGUGCAUAUCAUGGCAUACAUGAGACUUCCUAUGGCAGAAGCAUAAGGAAUAGCACUCAUCUACCGUAUCUCUUCAGGAGUUUUAGGUCCCAUGGACUUAGAAAGGUGAAUUCCAUGUCUCACAGGAAGAAGACCUUUCUUAGAUUGUUCCAUCUGGAACUUACUUAGCAUCUUAUCUAUGUACACAGAUUGGGAUAAUCCAAUUAAUUUUCUGGAUCUAUCACGAUAGAGCUUUAUCCCAAGUACAUAAGAUGCAUCUCCCAAAUCUUUCAUGUGGAAGGUUUUGGACAACCACACUUUUACAGAAGAAAGUACUGCAGUGUCAUUCCCGAAUAGUAAUAUGUCAUCUACAUAUAACACUAGGAAUACAACUGCAUCCCUAACGACCUUUUGAUAAACACAAUUUUCGUCUUUGUUUUGAGUAAAACCAAACGUUUUGAUUUCAGUAUCAAAACGAAUGUUCCAGCUCCUAAAGGCUUGCUUAAGUCCAUAAAUGGACCUUUGAAGCUUGCAUACCUUAGUCCUUUCAGACUUGGACACAAAACCUUCAAGUUGAGUCAUAUAGAGCUCUUCCUCUAGGUAGCCAUUCAGAAAGGCCGUUUUCACGUCCAUUUGCCAUAUCUCAUAAUCAUGGUACGCAACUAUAGCAAGCAAAAUCCGAAUGGACUUAAUCAUGGCUACAGGAGAGAAGGUUUCUUCAUAGUCAAUCCCUUCUCUUUUCCUGUAACCCUUGGCUACGAGUCUGGCCUUAUAAGUUUCCACGUUCCCUUCAGCGCCUAUCUUCCUCUUGAAGACCCAUUUGUUUCCAACGGGUAUUAUACCUUCUGGAGGGUCUACAAGAGUCCAGACCUGCUUUUGAUACAUGGAAUCCAUCUCGAAUUUCAUGGCCUCUUGCCAUCUCUUUGAAUCAAUGUCGGACAUUGCUUCAGUGUAGUCUCUAGGGUCUUCCUUUGUGUCAUUGUCACCUAGAAGGUGCAAUUCCCCAAAGUCAUUAUCUAAGCCAUACCUCUUAGGUGGCUUGCUAACCCUUUCAGAUCUAUGUGGAGCUAGGGGUUCAGGAACAGGGUUGUCAACUUGUCGAGUGCUUGUUUGUGGUUCAUCAUUAAUCUCAUUAAUUUCCAUUGUUUUACUUAUAGUUCAUUUGAGAACAAAUUCGUCCUCUAGAAACUUAGAAGUUCUGGCGACAAAAACCUUUUGAUCGUCAGGAUGGUAGAACUCAUAUCCCAUAGUUUCUCUAGGAUAUCCCACAAAAUAGCACUGAUCUCGCUUCAAGCUUAGUAGCUUCAAGCUUCUUGACAUAUGCUUCACAACCCCAAAUCUUAAUGUGAUUACGACUUGGCUUUCUUCCAUGCCAUAUCUCAUAGGGCGUCUGUGAAACUGACUUGGAAGGUACUCUAUUAAGCAAGUAAGCUGCUGUAUAUAGAGCGUAUCCCCAGAAUGUUACUGGUAGAUCUGCGGAACUCAUCAUAGAACGAACCAUGUUUAUCAAGGUUCGAUUUCUCCUUUCAGAAACUCCAUUAAGUUGUGGAGUUCCCGGUGGAGUCCACUGUGAUAUUAUUCCACACUCUUUGAGAUAAUCUAGGAACUCGGUACUUAGAUACUCUCCCCCUCGAUCUAAUCUUAGGAUCUUUAUCUGUUUCCUAGUUUGCUUCUCAACUUCAUUCUUGAAUUCUUUGAACCUUUCAAAGGAUUCUGACUUGUACUUCAUAAGAUACACAUAGCCAAACCGAGAGUGAUCGUCGGUGAAUGUGAUAUAGUAGGAGAAGCCUCCUCUCGACGUAGUAGACAUAGGUCCACAUACAUCAGUGUGGAUUAACCCUAGAAUUUCAGUGGCACGCUCUCCUUUCCCAGUGAAUGGAGAUUUGGUCAUCUUCCCUUUUAAGCAACAUUCAGAAGUACCCAUUUGGUCAUUACCUAAUGGGCGGAAAUAUCCGUCUUUCGACAUCUUGCGAAUCUUAUCAAGGUUCACAUGUCCAAGUUUAAGAUGCCACAUCUUUUCUCGGUUAACUUCUUCUCUAGCCCUUUUGGGUUUUGAGGUAUUCUCGUUUUCAAUACAGUGCAUCCCACUACUUGUCUCUAGGUGAAAAAGUCCCUCUAUCAUAUUACCAUGAGAGAUAAUACGACCGUUCAAGUAUAAAAUGCAACUCAUUUUGUCAAACAAUAUUGAGUGCCCAUCUCGUAAAAGCUUAGAGAUAGAAAUCAAAUUCUUUAUACAUGAAGGAAAAUAUAAACAAUUUUUAAGUUCCAAGACUUCCCCAGAGGGCAGUUUAAGCAUGUAGGUGCCUAUUGCUUUAGCAGUGAUCUUAGUGCCGUUCCCAACUCGCACAAUCAUCUCCCCAUUGCGCAAUGUUCUGCUCCCUGUUAGUCUCUGCAACGAAUUGCAAAUAUGUUAACUAGCACCUGAAUCAAAUAUCCAUGAAUUGGAGCUCAUUGUAAAAGCACUCUCUAUGAUAGAAAUAGUCCCUUCAAAAGUUCGUGUCAUAAGGCUCGCAAUGCGCACCCUAUAUUUCUUCUUCCAACGUUCAUCCUUUCCACAAUGAAAUCAUGUUCCUUUGGAUUUUAUUGCCUUCUUCUUAUGUAACCUUUUCCUUGUGAUUGCAGUCUCACUCCCACUGUCCUUUUUGAAACCUUGUUCAAACUUACAUCACAUGUCCAUCAUCUCGGUAAAAGUAUGAUUGAAUCUAUUCACUUUAUAGUUUACAAUAAACUUAGUGAAAUCAUCCGUGAGAGAUGCAAGGAAAAAGUCUUGGGCCAUUUUCCCAUCGAUGGAAGUUCCUAAAAUUUCAAGAUCUUGAAAGAUCCUUUCCAUCUUUUGUCCAUGUUUUUGGACCUGAAGGAAAAAUUUUGUCCUAGCUAAAGAACAAGUAAGAGCAUUUGAAUACAUAUGCAAACUAUUAACACAUUAAAGUAGGCAUGCAUUCAAAAACAAUUCAUAAAACCCAUGACUUUCAAAGCCUAGUAUAUGGUGAACCAAUAAACUCUUUAACAACAUUAAAGAGAAGGAAAGAUUUAGAGUUUCUUUACCCUUGAAGCUCAUCCUUGAUUACACAAGGGAUUCACCCAAGUAGAGGGCCUUCAAGUCACCUCCUUGCUUCUUGGAUCUUCCUUGUGAUUUUCCUCCUUUUAGUGCUCCUUUGCUUCUUUGAGGAUUUGAGGAUUUGUUCUCCAAAACAUCAAAAGCUUGAUGUCUCUAAGUCUCUUCACCAAGGAUGUGAUGUGAAGAUGAAAUGGAUGACUUAGGGAAGAAGAGAUUGCUAGCUAUUCCUUCCCUAGGUGGCCGGCCUCUUUUGAGAAAAUGAGAGAAAAUGUUUCACCUCAUUUCACCAAGAAAAACCCUAAAUGAAAAUAAAGCUAUAAAGUUGAAUUUAUACUUCAUCACAUGUGAGUGGCAAACUUGUAAUUAAUCCAAGUUUGACACUUCUCACCCUAAUGGCCGGCCAUAUCAAAUUGAUUAGCGAGGUAGUGGGCGAUUGUUACUCUUAACGAUCGAUUGUGAAUUGAAACUACAUUUCAAUUCUCCCUUAAAAUUAGUGUUUGCUAAUCUUUAGGGCUUCCACAAACCAUGAGUGACACCUAGUAGCAUAUCAUGGUUACCCAAGCUAAGUAGAAGUGGUUGGAGAACCUAUCCAGUUACAACUACAAUGCAAUACGGUCCUUCUCUAAUACAAUACUCUUAAUCACAUUGUUUCAGAUUAUAGUUUGUUUCAUGUCUACUAUCCAAUGUGAUACUUAUCUAUAUGAUUCAAUUGAAUAUGAUUUGGAACAAACUUCCUAAGUCAUAUUCAUAUGCUUUGGCCAAAGACUCUCGAAUCAUAUCUUAGAGUAUUCUCCUUCCACCAUGGAAGGUUAGAGAUUCUUUGUUGUGCAUUCAUAUGCCUCAUGACUAGGUAGCUUGACCACAACAAUGCCGUGGACUCUAAUGGAAUGCCUUUGACAUGAUCAAAGAUCAAGGACCUAACCAUUAGACAUCUAUGAUGCCUCAGGUCAAAAGACUACUUUGCAUAUUGCAACUUUCGAGUUCUUACAUGACAUGUAUGUUCGAACUCUCUUUUGAUCGUUGUUCAGUGUACUCGAUCACUCUUUCGAGCACCUAUGUGUUUGCCUUAGUGUCCAACACUAAAUGACAUGAGACUAGUCAUACUCACGCUUGAGUCGACAUAACACAUACUAACCUUAGCGGAUUGUCAAUGCCCAAUUGGCAAUCCUAUGGCUAGGAACGUUUUAGGAAUGAACAUAAGAGAAAGGUCUCGAUAAUCUAACUUACUUAAAUCACUUAUCUCUUAGAUCAAAUACAUAACUUGGAUUCCCUUAUUGCUUAAACACAUGAUACAAUAAAUAGUGAUUAACAAUAAGCUUUGCCCUUCAUUAAACAUAUAAAAGUUUAAUACAAUAAGUAUUCCAAAAGCUAUUACAUCAAAUGAGUGGCUUUGUGGGCAUACUUCCAACAGGACCGAUGCCCCCUUUGCCAUUUUGGCAUUCUAUAGAUUACAAACAUUUGAGAAUCGUACGUUACUAGUCUCAAUGUCAUGCAUCUUAUGCAAACUAUCAACCAUGGCACAAGAAGUGUCCAUGUGCUCAUGUAGCUUCUUAAGCUCCUCACUAAGUGAAGUGAGGAUUAAGCAUUUGGCUUGUAAGUCAUCCUCAUAGUGUCUUGCAUAAUUUUGACACUCCUCCUUUGAAGAUAGUUUCAUAGGAGGUACAUGAGGAGGGGAUUGCUUAAGCACAUACAAUAUGUCUUUCACCUGAGACAUUCUCAAUGUGGCGAUACCAAGCAAGGAAACGUUGGCCCCUAAGGCCCCUUUUGUCAAAUAUAAUGGUGGGUGUAAUUUUAGGCAUGUCGUUAACUACAUAACAUAACAGAAAUCGUAUUAGAUUGUUGAUUUUAAAACUACUUGAUUGGGUCUUAAAUCAAAUAGUACCACCCACUAUUUUUGGCAAAUUCCACAUCCCUCAAUGGAAUUCGAGAGUUAUUUUGAACUCUUAGCGGGGUAUGGGAGGCUCACCAUUACCAAGCCCACCUCACGAUGAUACGAUGUUGGUUAGCAAAAAUAAUGAUGAGAGAAUAACGCUUUAGUCAUUUACAACUCUUGUAAUUACCCAUCUAGUUUGGCCUCUAGAGAAUGAUGACUCACAAUGAUAUGAUGUUGGCACCAUUGCACUUAGUUAAGUUAUUCCCACCAUGCUAGUUCGUGUAGGGGUUCAAGAAUAGCCUCACAAUGAUAUGAUGUCGGCCAUCCUCGUUACCUACCUCACCACAUCAUGUAUGUUCAUAUGGACUCCUCCUGAAUGUAAGUACAUACUUUGAACUUCCCCAUGAUAGGGUGAAGCCGGUGUACGAGUCACAAACGAUUGGAGCCCAUCAUGGUGGAAGGCCUACGAAGAGAUGUUCAAAGCAUCUCUCGCUUAUCAACUUAAUAUUCAUUUUGUUGAGGGAAUUGUGUUGGGCUACAUCAAUUUUAUUUUAAUCUUAUUAAAAGAACUUGGGCCUAUCACAACCAUUGGUCCAAGUUAAUAUGAAUUAGUAGUAUAUAAUACUCCCACUAUUUCGAGGAAACAAGCGAGACUAUAUGGAACUACUAACGAAUGCAUUGCAUCCUCAUAUGGACUAUAUAGUUAUAUUAGGUCUUAGGAUGAUUAUGAACCGUUUGAUUUGAUCCAACACGAGCCUUGUGUUGGACCUUGGGUUUAAGGUAGAUAGUGGUUGAUUUUAGUUACGCGUUUAAUCUAAUUAAACCGUUAUUUCCUAUUGGGCGUUGGACCCAACUAUUCCAAUUUGCAUACAUAUAAACAAAAAGGAAUACAUGAAAUAAAGAGAAGGGCUUAUGCCAUUUUACAACAAAUUAGAAGGACUUAUGUCCUUUUACAACAAAUUUGAACUAAUCAAAUUACAUUCAAAUCUAAACUACUUAACCCAAACAUUCACAAUGUAAAGCGGCCAAUCACAUAGCUCAAUUAUCGAAGCCUUUGGUUCAUAAUCACCCUUUUCUUAAUCAAUCAAAUUAACUAAGAAAGCAACUUAAACAAUUGAUUUUCGGAUUCAUAGAAUUGAUUUAAAUGGAACUAAAUGAAAUGAAAAUCCAAUUCUUAUUAAAGAGACAAAACCAUUUUGUUGUCAUCAUCUUUUGGGCCGAAAAACAAUGACCACAACAAUUGGGCCAUAAGGUUAAAACAUAAACUUUUGGGGUCACUUUGUAAAAACACAAGAGUCCACAACUUCAUGUAAUUACAACUCGAACCCAAAAAUUUCAACAAUAGCAAAAACUUCAUUAAAGGAGCAAAACAAUUUGUCCUUUAGUGUUUUUGGGCUUUAACGAAAAAUGUAAACUUUUGGGCCAAAGUACAAAUACACAAAAGUAUCAAAACUUUAUGUAAUUGCAUAAAAGGCCCCAAAAGUACCCCCAUUAAGGGGUGGCCGGCUUUGGUAGUGAAAAAGGAGGGGGAAAAGGUUUUGGUGAAAAAUUCAAAAUUUGAAAGUGUUUUGUGCAAGUGGAUAGGUAGGUGAGGAAAAGUUGAUUGGUAUAGGUUGUAAGAAAAAGUUUUGUCAAACAAUAAAGACAUAAAUCAUCUAUCACCAAUCAUCCAUCACCAAUUAAUUAUAAACCAAAACUUUAUGAAAAACACCAAACAUUUUGAAUCAAAACUCCAAACCUUUUUGUUCUUGGUAAGAACAUCAAGAAUAUUGAAGAACACACAUGAAAACUCAUAAGAGCUCCAUGAAUAUUUUCACACAAUAAAACUCAAAUUUUCACUACACAAAAGAGGGUUAACAUCCUAGGGUACUUAGGGGUUCCAAAAAUCACUUUAAAACUCUUUUAACAAGACAAACAUGAACCUAAAAAUCCACAUUUUGGAUUUGGCCGAAUUUCCCAAAAUACAUGGCACCAAAUUUUAGUUCUAAUAUUCAUGCUUAAAUGAACUACAUCUACAACAUUUGAGAUGCUAAAUUUUCAAGCAAAAUUUAUAUUCAAAAGCAAGAACAAAGCUUGUAACAUUUACAACAUCUAAAUCACAAACCAUGAAAAAACACAAAACCCAAAAGGAUUCACCAUAAACUAGACCUAGGCUCUUGAUACCACUUGAAGGAAAAAAUUUGUCCUAGCUAAGAACAUGUGAGAAUAUUUGAACACAUAUGCAAACUAUUAACACAUUAAAGUAGGCAUGCAUUCAAAAACAAUUCUAAAACCCAUGACUUUCAAAGCCUAGUGAAUAGUGAACCACAAGACUCUUUAACAACAUUAAAGAGAAAGAAGGUUUUAGAGAUUCAUUACCCUUGAAGCUCAUCCUUGUUUACACAAGGGAUUCCCCCAAGUGGAGGGCCUUCAAGUCACCUCCUAGCUCCUUGGAUCUUCCUUGUGAUUUUCUUCCUUUUUGAUGCUCCUUUGCUUCUUGAGGAUGUGAGGAAAGGAUCUCCAAAAACACCAAAGAUUUGGUGUCUCUAAGUCUCCACACCAAGGAUGAGGUGUGAAGAUGAAAUGGAUGACUUAGAGCAUAAAAGAUUGCUAGCUAUAUCUUCUCUAAAUGGCCGGCCUCCUUUAGAGAAAAAGAGAGAAAAUGUUUCUUAUCUUUGCCUCUAGAAAACCCUAAUGAGGUAAAAGCUAUAAAGAUGCUUUUAUAUCUCUUUUCUUAGGUGAGUGACAAACUUGCAAUUAAGCAAAACUUACCACUCCCUCACUAUGGCCGGCCUCUUUUAAGUGAUUGGGCUAUUUGCCCAUGUUUGUUUUAGUUGUCAUACAACUUAAACAUAAUGGGCCUAGUGGACCAAACCCUUUUGGACCCCGAAGCCCAAAACUAACUUAAAAGCCCAAUACGAACCUUUCGUAUAAUUAAUUAACUAAUUAAUUAACCUUGACCAUAUUUCAAUUAAACCAUUUAAUUUCUUAUCCAUUUCAUUUAUAUUUCUUCACUUUCAUCCUUACUCGGUGUACGAUCCAUUAGGUUCCAAUUAGCGAGGCAGUGGGCGAUUGUUACUCUUAACGAUCGAUUGUGAAUUGAAACUACAUUUCAAUUCUCCCUUUGAUCAAGAUUAGUGUUUGCUAAUCUUCAGGGCUUCCACAAACCAUGAGUGACACUUAGCAGCAUGUCAUGGCUACCCAAGCUAAAUAGAAUUGGUUGGAGAACCUAUCCAGUUACAAUUACAAUGCAAUACGGUCUAAUACAAUACUCUUAAUCACAUUGUUUGAGUGAUAGUUUGUAUCAUGUCUACUAUCCAAUGUGAUACUUCUUUAUAUGAUUCAAUUGAAUAUGAUUUGGAACAUACUUCCUAAGUCAUAUUCGUAUGCUUUGGGCAAAGACUCCUGAAUCAUAUCUUAGAGUAUUCUCCUUCCACCAUGGAAGGUUAGAGAUUCCUUGUUGUGCAUUCAUAUGCUUACAUGACUAGAUAGCUUGACCCCAACAAUGUCAUGGACACUCUCGAUGGAAUGCCUUUGACAUGAUCAAAGAUCAAGGACCUAACCAUUAGACAUCUAUGAUGCCUCAGGUUAAAGGACUACUUUGCAUAUUGCAACUUAUGAGUUCUUACAUGACAUGUAUGUUCGAACUCUCUUUUAAUCGUUGUUCAGUGUACUUGAUUACUCUUUCAAGCACCUAUGUGUUUGUCUUAGUGUCCAACAC